UACGAAGGGGGCUAGCGUUGCUCGGAAUCACUGGGCGUAAAGCGCACGUAGGCGGCUUCUUAAGUCAGGGGUGAAAUCCUGGAGCUCAACUCCAGAACUGCCUUUGAUACUGGGAAGCUUGAGUCCGGAAGAGGUGAGUGGAACUCCGAGUGUAGAGGUGAAAUUCGUAGAUAUCGGGAGGAACACCAGUGGCGAAGGCGGCGAUCUGGGUAGAUACUGACGCUGAGGUGCGAAAGCGUGGGGAGCAAACAGG
rnacentral:rRNA from 1 species